rnacentral:rRNA from 1 species
AGUGAACGCUGGCGGUAGGCCUAACACAUGCAAGUCGAACGGCAGCACAGUAAGAGCUUGCUCUUACGGGUGGCGAGUGGCGGACGGGUGAGGAAUACAUCGGAAUCUACUUUUUCGUGGGGGAUAACGUCGGGAAACUUACGCUAAUACCGCAUACGUCCUACGGGUGAAAGCAGGGGAUCUUUGGACCUUGCGCGAUUGAAUGAGCCGAUGUCGGAUUAGCUAGGUGGCGGGGUAAAGGCCCACCAAGGCGACGAUCCGUAGCUGGUCUGAGGGGAUGAUCAGCCACACUGGAACUGAGACACGGUCCAGACUCCUACGGGAGGCAGCAGUGGGGAAUAUUGGACAAUGGGCGCAAGCCUGAUCCAGCCAUACCGCGUGGGUGAAGAAGGCCUUCGGGUUGUAAAGCCCUUUUGUUGGGAAAGAAAAGCAGCAGGUUAAUACCCCGCUGUUCUGACGGUACCCAAAGAAUAAGCACCGGCUAACUUCGUG